GGAGACUUGGGAAAAAUUCACAAGAUCGGUAUCGUCUUAACACCGUGAGUCUCCUGCAUAUGAAAAUUGAUUCGAAUUCUUAUUAUGUUUUAGCCUUAAAUUCUCAUUCUCUGACAACUCUUGAGUACUUUAUUUCAGUAGUCAGCAUCAUCUCACACACACUCUACGCAGGGAAGUCGAUGAAUAUAAGUGAGUGUUCCGAAAAAGAAAAAAAAAGAGAAAGAAAAGGGAAUGCACCUUCUAAG
rnacentral:lncRNA from 1 species